UACAGCCAUAUCACAUUGAAACACUGGUUCCCAUGCAAUCACCGAAGUUAAGCAACAUUGAGUUUGGUCAGUACCUAGAUGGAUGACUGUUUGAUAAUACCAGUGCUGUA